rnacentral:lncRNA from 1 species
AUGGAGGAGCCUCUGAAGGCUCUUUUUGGGGUAACGGAAGAGAGCCUUCUGAUAUCCCUGGUUGAGGGUCACUCCAACCCCACCUCCUCCAGCUCCUCCGAGUUGAGCUGUGCUAUCGUGGGGGAGGUGGUACACCAGCUUAACUCUGGCCUCUCAGUGGCCAUUCAGGCCAGCCCGGGGAGUUGCCCCCCUAUGGACAGUCAGGACAUAGCAGCAGGCAAGGAGGUCAUUCGGGUAGCCUCGGUUCAGAUCCUGGCCGAGCUACAGAGCCAAACAUCUGAGCCAGAGUGGGUAGGGUUUAUCGAGCCCCUCAUGGACCCUGUGACCGAUGAUGUGCUGGAGGCCAUUGUCGGCACAAUGGACAAAAUGGCACAGGACUUCAACAUCCUAUUGGAUCUGGCCAAGAAGAUGACAAUCUUGGGGUCUAAAUUUCUGACCAAUCUUCAAUGUGACCUAGAUGUUGAGUGUCCAUCUGGGAAGGAAGGGACCACUCACUUUCUCAAAGAGACUGGAUCCUCUACCAGUGUGGUGGCCAGAAAGAUUCAGACCCUCUCUAGCCCCGACUUUCAGUCUAAAGCCCUGAAGGCGGUGAGCACCAUCCUUACAAGGAAAGUCAGCAGCUCUUCUGGCAUGGCUCCUUCCUCUAGGCCUUCUAGUGCUGCUCCUAGCCUUACUGAAGCCCCGCUGAAUACCAGCUGCACAGCCCUGACAUCUGUAACCUCCACUGCCACAGUGAUUGUUAAGGCAUUUGUGGGAGGCAUGGAGACGAUAGCAUCAUUUGAAGACACAUGUGAAGCAGUUGAUUGGCCAGUUCCUGUAAAUGACCACAAAACAGGGUCUUCACAGAAGAUAACCUUCUCUCUAGCCGGCACACUCUAUGGCCGUAUACGAGCAAAGCUGAGGGACCUUUUAACUCUAGCCGCUCGAGAAGAAGGUGUGUCAAAGGAUGCUUCUCUUCGGGAGUCUUCAGACACCCUGGAAAAGGCAACUGUUUCAACUGUUGAGGUCCAGUUACCCAGCACCGAACACAGUAGAGUUCCCAGAGAGAGCCAACCAAUACCAGCUCUCUGUCUCUCCAAUCUGGAUACCAGUACUCAAGAAGUUCUUAGCAGUGUUUUUUCCAUCUACAAGUCAGAGUUAUCAAAAGUGGAGAGUAAAUCCUUAGCCGUUGUCAGUUCAUCUGAUGAGUCCCUAGAGGCUUGUUGGUUUGUUGAUGGUGUCCUAUCAAAGCUUGAUGACUAUACUAUUUCCCAGUCACCCUCACCCAAUGAAGGCUUGAGCGUGAGUACUCAAUAUUCUCAACUGAGCUCAGAAGAGAGUGUCAGAAUCACAGAGUCCUCAACUAGUCUGAUUCAGAGCAUUAAGAAGCUCUCUAGCAAUGACUUUCAGACUCAGGCAGAAGAGGCAGUGAGUAAAGUGCUGAUGAGAUCCAGUCAUUCCUUUAUCACACAGAUCAGCCAUACUGGUCUUCAGAAAAGUCUGCAGGCUGGCUUAUCAUCUAGCUCACCAUCAGAGAUCCAUGUCCUUUCAGAAUCCAUGUCCUCCAUGUCCUCUGAGAAUACAGCCUCUGGAUUAGUGGAAACCUUUGUCAAAGGAAUGGCGACUAUUUUCCAGAAAAAUGAGUCCACUGACACUGUGCUACUGGAAAGAAGUGGGAGAGUUUCACAGUGCUCCCACGGGGGCUCCCAACUGGAUGAUACUGAAUUGAGUGUUAAAAUAUCAGAGGAGAAGCUUUGGUCAACAGCUAAGAACAUCUGCGUCAGUAUGAAGAACACACUUAAGGAUUUCUUCACAGGGCUGAAGCCAUCCGGAUCCGAAAGGACAGAAAUGGCUUCUUCCAAAGAGACCCUUGGGGAAAUCCUGGUUGCUAUCCAGAGUGAAAUCUCAAACUUCGGGCGAAUGAAGGAUUCCAGGGAGCUCCUUCAGAUCAAUGAUAUGGUAGGAACUAUGCUGAAGGAGAUUGAGAAAAGUGAGGAUGACAGUGAACAAGUCUGCCAAGACAUCCCUCGAACCUGUUCAUCUUUAUCCACUUCUUUAAAUGGUCGUAGUUCCUUGUCCAGCUCUUCAAAGGGUCCUAGGUCAGAGUGUGAGUUAGAGAUCAACCUCCCUGGCACUCCCAUCCCUGACGAAGUGCCUUUUGAUCUGACCUGCCCCAUCGUCAGGAGCUCCUGCAUCGACACCAGGGACUCUAAAAUGCCAGAGAUUUCUACAAGUGACCUAAAGACAAAGAUGAUGGCACACACAGAUGAACCCCUGCAUCGUAACAGUCCAAUGACUGACAGCAGCCGACCACCGAGUGCUAAAGUCUCUUUUCGAUCCUCCACUCUGUCUUUCACCAGCAAGGGAACCUUUUUGGUACCAAAGGGAGAGGGGAUUGACAUUGAAGAGAAGGAGGUGUGUAUCCCUAGCAGCUCUGGCCAUCUGAGGGAGCUCUUAAUCAUCCCGGACAUCAGCAGUGCCACUGCAUUCCCACUGCAGUACUUGAUGGAUUCCAGCAAAGAUGAUGGCAUCUGUUUUGUCACCAUACUGGUGAUAAGGUUGCUAUCGGAGAUCAGACCCUCAGCCCUAGAUGGACCCUCCCAACAGGCAGCAGAUCUGACAGAAACAUCUCAGCAACUCAUCAGACAAGUCCUGUCUGAGUUCUGUGCUGCAUCCAGAUUAUCCAGGACACAGGCAUAUUCCCAGAACCUGAACAUCCAAAGGGUGUUCAGAGGUGUACAUAAAAACCUCAUGGAGGAGUUUGGCUCUUAUAACACCCUGCAAGCAGCUAUUUCCUCCCAGGACCCUGCAUUUGACAGAGUCCUGGUAAAGUCCUUGACCCAGCAGCUGGUACAGGGAUGCAAGGAGGCGUCAAGACCAAACCCAUCAGACCAGGCUGAGACAGAGAGGGGGGCUGAGCAGAAAGCAAGAAGGAGCUUCCUUUGCUUUUCAAUGACCAAACUCAGGAUCAACUUCAAGCGUUCCAAGAGAGGAAACAAAAAGGACUGCCAUUCAGUCCAGGACCAGACUGAGAUUCCCUCUACUGAUGGACAUUGCAUAGGUAAGGAUGUUUUAGAGCUCUGCUAUAGCUUGUAG